UACGAGUGCUUCGAGCGUUAUCCGGAAUCAUUGGGCGUAAAGGGUGUGUAGGCGGCUUUGUUAGUCUCGCGUAAAAUCUUUCGGCUCAACCGAGAGUCUGCGUGGGAAACGGCAAGGCUUAGAGGACGGAAGAGGUCUCUGGAACUCAUGGUGUAGCGGUGAAAUGCGUUGAUAUCAUGGGGAACACCAAAAGCGAAGGCAAGAGACUGGUCCGCUACUGACGCUGAAACACGAAAGCGUGGGUAGCGAAUGGG
rnacentral:rRNA from 1 species